AAAGUAGACGGCGUGAUUCUAUACGAGUCCAACGAACGCUCUCGUGCGCCUAGCGCGUGCGUUUGCGAUCUGGAGAGUCCGCCGAUCCUCCGUAAUUACUCGAGACGGCGCUUCACGCGCGCCCUCGAGGUGUGCACUCGUAGUUUGUUGGCGAUCGCGUGUGUUCUUAACGGUUCGCGCGUGUGUCGUCCGCUGCUACGCGUCCCCUCUUGGUGCGUCGCGAGUCGAUUGCCUAUCGAGUACAUGCGUAGGAAGUUUUCUUCUUAGAGGUAUUGACGACUCACGUUCAAAGUCGUAAGAGACAAAGAGCAAUAACAGGUCUGUGAUGCCCUUAGAUGUCCUGGGCCGCACGCGAGCUACAAUGCCGGGUACAACGGGUAUCGUUUCCUUCUCCGAAAGGAGUGGGUAACCCUUUGAACACCCUUCUUAUUUCGACGAUCGACGUCGCGAUUCGCUCAACGGCGUUUCGCACGCUCGCCAUCGUCUGGCUCGC
rnacentral:rRNA from 1 species